AUGCUGCAGCUGCUGCUCCGGAGGAACGCUUACCUGGAGCAGGAGCUCGACCUUCGCUUCCGCCUCUUCCGCUCCUGGGACUCCCCUUCGCACCAACGCCUCCGCCAUCGGUGCCGUCGUUGGCAACGCCGAUGCCGCAUCGGCGCCGCCGUCCUUCUCCGUGGGGACCGACCGCGUAGACCUCCCAAGUGCCGGGAGCACCGAAUCCGCGUCACCAACACCCCCAACUUCCUCACCGACGACGUCGCCGGCCUCGCCAUCUCCGUGCCAAGGAAGACCACGCAUGCUGACCGUUACGUGCGCGCCGGCUUGUGGAAGGCAAGAGUGACUACGCAGCCACCACACGGAUACAGUAUAUCUAAGUCGAUACUUUUUGUGGAUACAUGGUCGAUGGCACAAGUUAUUACUUACUGGUGA
rnacentral:rRNA from 1 species